ACAGCCUCUAGCCGACGAAGCCGUAGCAUAGCUAAGCUAGGCCAGGCCAGUGGCUGCUAGGCCUACUACUACUACUACGGUGCAGCAGCUGAUGAUGCAGAGUUCGAUAGAAAAAGAACAUGGUAGAGUAGUGGAAAGUACCUAAAUGAAGAUGGAAAAAAAAAACAGAUAAUGAUGGAUAGAUAAGUGUUGGCACAUCUCACAGAUACGUGUGAAAAUCAUUCAUCCCAUCAACCAUUUUUGGCUAUCAAA